UGAGGAAUAUUGGUCAAUGGGCGGGAGCCUGAACCAGCCAAGUCGCGUGAGGGAAGACGGCCCUAUGGGUUGUAAACCUCUUUUGCCGGGGAGCAAAGCGCCGCACGUGUGUGGCUUGGAGAGUACCCGGAGAAAAAGCAUCGGCUAACUCCGUGCCAGCAGCCGCGGUAAUACGGAGGAUGCGAGCGUUAUCCGGAUUUAUUGGGUUUAAAGGGUGCGUAGGCGGUCUGUUAAGUCAGCGGUAAAACUUGCGGGGCUCAACCUCGCCGAGCCGUUGAAACUGGUAGACUCGAGUGGGCGAGAAGUACGCGGAAUGCGUGGUGUAGCGGUGAAAUGCAUAGAUAUGUCACAGAACACCGAUAGCGAAAGCAGCUGCCUAAGACUUAUCUGACGCUCAGGGACGAAAGCGUGGGGAGCAAACAGGAUUAGAUACC
rnacentral:rRNA from 1 species